GCAUAUCAAUAAGCGGAGGAAAAGAAACCAACAGGGAUUGCCCUAGUAACGGCGAGUGAAGCGGCAACAGCUCAAAUUUGAAAUCUGGCGUCUUUGGCGUCCGAGUUGUAAUUUGCAGAGGGCGCUUUGGCAUUGGCAGCGGUCCAAGUUCCUUGGAACAGGACGUCACAGAGGGUGAGAAUCCCGUACGUGGUCGCUAGCCUUUACCGUGUAAAGCCCCUUCGACGAGUCGAGUUGUUUGGGAAUGCAGCUCUAAAUGGGAGGUAAAUUUCUUCUAAAGCUAAAUACUGGCCAGAGACCGAUAGCGCACAAGUAGAGUGAUCGAAAGAUGAAAAGCACUUUGGAAAGAGAGUUAAAAAGCACGUGAAAUUGUUGAAAGGGAAGCGCUUGCAGCCAGACUUGCCUGUAGUUGCUCAUCCGGGUUUUUACCCGGUGCACUCUUCUAUAGGCAGGCCAGCAUCAGUUUGGGCGGUUGGAUAAAGGUCUCUGUCAUGUACCUCUCUUCGGGGAGAACUUAUAGGGGAGACGACAUGCAACCAGCCUGGACUGAGGUCCGCGC
rnacentral:rRNA from 1 species